CCCUUAGAUGCUCUGGGCCGCACGCGCGCUACACUGGUCGAUGCAACGAGUUUCUUUCCUUGGCCGACAGGCCUGGGCAAUCUUUGAACAUCGAUCGUGAUCGGGAUAGAUUCUUGUAAUUUUUGAUCUUAAACGAGGAAUUCCUAGUAAACGCAAGUCAUCAGCUUGCAUUGAUUGCGUCCCUGCCCUUUGUACACACCGCCCGUCGCACCUACCGAUUGAAUGGUCCGGUGAAAUCUCCGGACUGGCGUGAGUCGGAGCAAUCUGACAAACGCCGGAAAGUUGAUUAAACCUUACCAUUUAGAGGAAGGUGAAGUCGUAACA
rnacentral:rRNA from 1 species